ensembl:lncRNA
AGAUAACACAAAACUCAUUUCAAACUGAGUUAAGCAAAAGGGAGAAUUCAUUAGCACAUAUGGUACAGCAGAAGAAUCCCAGGGGAAAGCUGGCUUCAGGUACUGACAUCUGAAAUUAGUUUCUCUCCAUCUCUUGUUUUUAUGUUUUAUUUUUUGUAGAGACGAAGUCUUGCUAUGUUGCCCAGGCUGGUCUUGAACUCCUGGCCUCAAGGAAUCUACCCACCUUGCCUCCCAAAGUGCUGAAAUUGCAGGUGUGAGUCACUGCGCCUGGCCCCAUCUCUUGGUUUUAUAGUCAGCUUCAUCCACAGGCUUCAUGUGAGGCCUCCGGCAAUGGGGCUACUCUUGAAAUAAACCAGGCAUGGAGACCCAGCUGCAGAAUCCUCCCCAUCUAGAGAUUACCUCAAGGCAGUUGAUCUACAACCCAGCUAUUGUCACCUCGAGAUGGCACCAGCCCACACUCCAGCAUGGAACCUCAGAGAAAAGGUUACGGCAUAUGAACCCACGAUGAUGAAAGCACUCACCUGAUAUUUCAUGCCAGGAAUGAUUUAUGUUUCCCUUGAACUCUGCCCACUUUGCUCCCUGAGCCUCUUGUGAGUGUAAGGUGGUGAUGAAGUUGUGGACAGAACAUGUGAACUCUAGAUCUGACCCUGCUUGCCAUCUUCAGGUAUGUGAUUGGUGUCUGGAGACACUUAGGAUGUGAGUUUAUGGGAAGGUGACAUUUUCUCUCCUUGGGGGAGACUUUGUGUGUGCAAAGGUGUGUGUGUGUGUGUUUAGGAAGCCCUAGACACGGGUAAAACAGCUGGCUGCUAAUAAUAUAAUAUUAUUUAAAGAUUGUCACUAAAAGUUUUCCCUCAUCUGAACCAUCUAAAUAUUUCCC